UAAUUAUUUAAAGUAAUAUUUAAUUAGAUUUGUAAAUAAUUUUUUUAUAAAAAUAUUUUAUUUUUAAUUUGUUUUAGUAUUUAGUAAAAAUAAAUUUUUAGAUUUAUAGUUAAUAAGUAUUGUAAAAGAAAUUUAAUAAAUAAUUAAAAGAUUUAAUUUAAGUACCUUUUGUAUCAGGGUUAAUUAAAAUUUUUAAUUUAUUUUAAUUUCUCAAAAUUUAUAGAGUUAAUUUUAUUAUUAAUUUAUUAUUUUAUUAAUAUUUAAAAAAUAAUUUUAGUUUUGAAAUUUAAUUUCGUUAUAAUAUAUUUAGUUAUUUAAGAUUUAAAUUUAAUUUAUAAUUUUAAAAGUUAUAUUAAUUUUUUUAAUAUUAAUAUUUUAAAUUUAAAUUAUUUUAGGGAUAAGCUUGAAAUUUAUAUAUAAUUAUGCAUAAAAAAUUAAAUAUUUUAUAGAAAUAGAAAUUUUUAUUUUAAAGUUUGUAAAAAUUUAUUAUUUAAUUUUAUUUAAUUUAUUAUAAUUUAUUUAUUUUUAAUAUUAAAUUUUAUAAUAAAAUAUUUUUUUUAUAGUAAUAAUGAUUAAAUUAGUAUAAUAUUAAUUUAUUAAUUAUGAAUUUGGCAAAAUUUAUUUUCAUCUGUUUAACAAAAACAUUGUAUUAAUUUUUAUUUAAUAUAGGAUCUGCUCAAUGAAUUAAUUUUAAAUAGCUGCAGUAUAAUGACUGUGCAAAGGUAGCAUAAUAAUUAGUUUUUUAAUUGAAAACUUGAAUGAAAGAUUUGAUGAAAAAUAAACUUUAUUAUUAAUAUAUUUAUAAUUUUAUUUUUAAGUAAAAAAGCUUAAAUAAUUUAAAGGGACGAUAAGACCCUAUAAAACUUUAUAAUUUUUAGAUUUAUUUUUUUUUUGUUUAAAUAAAUUAAUUAAUUUUAAUAAUUAUUUUAUUGGGGUGAUAAAAAAAAUUUUUUAACUUUUUUUAAAUUAAACAUUAUUAAAUGAUUAUUUGAAUUAAAAAUUUUAAUUAAAGGAAAAAGUUACUUUAGGGAUAACAGCGUAAUUAAUUUUUUAAGUUCAAAUUUUAAAAUUAGU
rnacentral:rRNA from 1 species